GGAUCCAGACUUUGAUUAUGGCUCAGGAUGAACGCUAGCUACAGGCUUAACACAUGCAAGUCGAGGGGCAGCGGUAUCGAAAGCUUGCUUUCGGUAGCCGGCGACCGGCGCACGGGUGAGUAACGCGUAUCGAACCUGCCUCAUACUCGGGAAUAGCCUUGCGAAAGUAGGAUUAAUGCCCGGUGUUUUCAGAGUCCCGCAUGAGGCUUUGAACAAAGAUUUAUCGGUAUGAGAUGGCGAUGCGUCCCAUUAGCUUGUUGGCGGGGUAACGGCCCACCAAGGCAUCGAUGGGUAGGGGUUCUGUGAGGAAGGUCCCCCACAUUGGAACUGAGACACGGUCCAAACUCCUACGGGAGGCAGCAGUGAGGAAUAUUGGUCAAUGGGCGGAAGCCUGAACCAGCCAAGUAGCGUGCAGGAAGACGGCCCUCCGGGUUGUAAACUGCUUUUAGUUGGGAAUAAAACGGGGCACGUGAGUCCCCUUGCAUGUACCAUCAGAAAAAGGACCGGCUAAUUCCGUGCCAGCAGCCGCGGUAAUACGGAAGGUCCGGGCGUUAUCCGGAUUUAUUGGGUUUAAAGGGAGCGCAGGCGGACCUUUAAGUCAGCUGUGAAAUACGGCGGCUCAACCGUCGAACUGCAGUUGAUACUGGAGGUCUUGAGUGCACACAGGGAUGCUGGAAUUCAUGGUGUAGCGGUGAAAUGCUCAGAUAUCAUGAAGAACUCCGAUCGCGAAGGCAGGCAUCCGGGGUGCAACUGACGCUGAGGCUCGAAAGUGCGGGUAUCAAACAGGAUUAGAUACCCUGGUAGUCCGCACAGUAAACGAUGAAUACUCGCGGUUUGCGAUACAUUGUAAGCCGCCAAGCGAAAGCGUUAAGUAUUCCACCUGGGGAGUACGCCGGCAACGGUGCAAC
rnacentral:rRNA from 1 species